GAUGAAGAACGUAGCGAAAUGCGAUAAGUAGUGUGAAUUGCAGAAUUCAGUGAAUCAUCGAAUCUUUGAACGCACAUUGCGCCCCCUGGUAUUCCGGGGGGCAUGCCUGUCCGAGCGUCAUUACAACCCUCAAGCUCAGCUUGGUGUUGGGCCCCGCCGCCCCGGCGGGCCCUAAAGUCAGUGGCGGUGCCGUCCGGCUCCGAGCGUAGUAAUUCUUCUCGCUCUGGAGGCCCGGUCGUGUGCUCGCCAGCAACCCCCAAUUUUUUUCAGGUUGACCUCGGAUCAGGUAGGGAUACCCGCUGAACUUAAGCAUAUCAAUAAGCGGAGGA
rnacentral:misc_RNA from 1 species